rnacentral:lncRNA from 1 species
AGACUGGAAGGAAGAGCAAAGAAAUAAUCCCCAACCCUCAACCCAGCAAGUUGAUUAAAAUUGUGAUGAAUACUGAACUUCUCUACUCCUCAGAGUCAUCAGUAAAAUAGGACUUCUCAAAUUUAGCAUCUUGAAUCCUGGAUCAAAAGACUUAAAUAAGGAAACCAACUUUCUUUACAUGAGCUCACUGUAAGAUGUACUGAGGAGGAGGCUUUACACAAUAUGAAAGAUACAGAUUUGCCCAAAGAGAAAUCACAGCAUGACUAUCUUGAUGCUUUCUUUAGAAAAGGAUUAAACUUAGUGUUCCAUGAGCUAUUUUGGGUUUAAUAUUAAAAAUGUAUUUCCUAUUCAUUUAUUAUGUCAAGUGAAAUACACAUAUUAAGUUACAGGUCUGUGGUUUUCAAUGAUCUGUUCAAUUCUAGAAGUCUUGUAGAUUGUGAUACAUAUUGUGCAUUGUCUUUAAUGACAUAAAAUCUCUUGGAUUGUUCAUAAAGACUCAAUCACGAGCUGGAAGAUUGAGGUAAAAUUAUAUGCCAGGAAAAAGAAGUGAUCCUUUCUGCCCAAUGGCUGGUCUUUGUCUCCAAAAGUCCAAAUAAUUGAUAAGUUUAAUCAACACAGUAAGCAAAAAUUAAGAUUAAUUGUUAGCUGUCAGGUAAGAAUCAAGUGAGUAAAUUUUGAAAUUUUUUUUUCUUGUCAUGUUGAUCAUCAUGUAGUCACAAUUUGAACUGACUAUCUUCCAAAUCAAGUAGAAGUAUUUUGAGAUUUAAUAUUAUUUUCAUAAUCUGUGUAUUUCAU